rnacentral:lncRNA from 1 species
AGAUAACUCAAAGGCAUCAUAUUAAUGCUAGAUCCAGAAUCUAUCAUAGCUCUUCCUAUAUCCACAUCAUUAAUAAUGCAUGGAAGAGUCAACCACCCUGGAUCCUUCAUUUUAGGUGGAUGAUGUUUUUUUCUAGGUUGUACAUGUACUUCAUGUUCUUCUUCUUCAUCUAGAUCUACCACAUCUCCAAGAUAAUAUUUUAAUCUUUCAGAAUGAACAGGAUUCUGCUGAAUCACUCAAGGAACCAAAGUCACUUUCUCUCUAAACUGCUCAUUUUGACCAUUUAUUCUUUCUUCUUCAUCUUCUUCACCCUCACUACUUUCCAACUCAAUAAUCUCCUUUUCUUCUUCCUCUUCACUACUUUCGAUUUCAACAACUUCCUUUUCUGCUUUACUUUUGCUCCUAGUCACAACAGCUUUGCAUUCCUCUUUAGGGUUAACAUCAGUAUUAGCCCUAAAUUGAUUUUUCUUUGCGGUUUCCAC